UAGGGAAUCUUCCACAAUGGACGCAAGUCUGAUGGAGCAACGCCGCGUGAGUGAAGAAGGUUUUCGGAUCGUAAAGCUCAGUUGUUGGUGAAGAAGGAUAGAGGCAGUAACUGGUCUUUAUUUGACGGUAAUCAACCAGAAAGUCACGGCUAACUACGUGCCAG
rnacentral:rRNA from 1 species